rnacentral:lncRNA from 1 species
UAGUGUGAGCAGUGGGGAAAAGGCCCAGGAAGUGCCUCAUGCAUGUUCAGGCUCCAGGCAGUGGGGAGUAGGAGAGUUCUUACUAAUUACCUGUCAUGUCAAUUCUCAGAUGCCAGCUAGUAAGAAGACAUAUUCUGAGACAUCAGCUGAGCCUAAAUGAAUAAAGGCAUGACACUGAGAUUGAAGGCUAGUUCUACUUCAGAACCACAGAGACAUGAGCACCAGCAAGUUUGAGGUUGGAUAAGGAUCUUCAGAACUCCUCAGCUUCAGAUGGUCAAGCACUGCUUCCUCCCUUCUUCAACGGCAUCUCUAGCAUGAAGAGGCACAACAGAGUCCAUGCCUUCACCUCCUCUGGCCAACUCUAAUCAUGAAUCUCCUGUGAAUCAGCUGGGAAACAUGCAGAAUAUGAGAUUGGGGCCCUCAUUCAUACUAACUGGAAUUUUCCUUGGCAAUGGUAGAACAGAAGCUUCUCCAUUCUUUACAGAUGAAUUUGCUUUAAGUAAGAUCUUCCCAGAGUACAAAAGAAAUUUAUUCGGAAAAUUUCAAACUAAUAUGGCCUUCUCACUGGAACUGGAUCCACCAUCCCUUUUGCUCAGUGUCGUCUUGUUUAUGUUUUAGAUCCUUUGCAAGGUGAGCUACACCUCUGAGAGGAGCUCCUGGAAAUUACCAGAUACUUAAUGUUGCCAGCUGUUACAGAUGGAGGUGAUGCACCUUGAUGAUGCAUAAGUACUGAGCCUGAAUCCUACAAAUGGGAAAAGGUGCUCAUAUCAGACUUAUGCAUUAGAUAUCAAACUACAAAAUACAAGUGCAGUUGAUACCUGUUUAGAUGAUGUAGAGCAAGGUAACAGAGUAUGUAUUAAAAGCAAAAAUUCCCAUGAAGCUGAACCGUUACUCUCUGCCAAAACCUCCCACUCUCAAGUUUUAAGAGCCAAUAAACCUUGUAUCUGUACGUUCAGCUUUGCCUUUUUUUUCCCAGGACUGUAAACCUCUGUCAAGGUUUACCAUGUUUCAUUGAUUUUA